rnacentral:rRNA from 1 species
CAGCACCUCAAGUGGUCAGGAUGAUUAUUGGGCCUAAAGCAUCCGUAGCCGGCGCUGUAAGUUUUCGGUUAAAUCUGUACGCUCAACGUACAGGCUGCCGGGAAUACUGCAGCGCUAGGGAGUGGGAGAGGUAGACGGUACUCAGUAGGAAGGGGUAAAGUCCUUUGAUCUAUUGAUGACCACCUGUGGCGAAGGCGGUCUACCAGAACACGUCCGACGGUGAGGGAUGAAAGCUGGGGGAGCAAACCGGAUUAGAUACCCGAGUAGUCC